rnacentral:rRNA from 1 species
GAUGAACGCUGGCGGCGUGCCUAAUACAUGCAAGUCGAGCGAACAGACGAGGAGCUUGCUCCUCUGACGUUAGCGGCGGACGGGUGAGUAACACGUGGAUAACCUACCUAUAAGACUGGGAUAACUUCGGGAAACCGGAGCUAAUACCGGAUAAUAUAUUGAACCGCAUGGUUCAAUAGUGAAAGACGGUUUUGAUGUCACUUAUAGAUGGAUCCGCGCCGCAUUAGCUAGUUGGUAAGGUAACGGCUUACCAAGGCAACGAUGCGUAGCCGACCUGAGAGGGUGAUCGGCCACACUGGAACUGAGACACGGUCCAUACUCCUACGGGAGGCAGCAGUAGGGAAUCUUCCGCAAUGGGCGAAAGCUUGACGGAGCAACGCCGCGUGAGUGAUGAAGGUCUUCGGAUCGUAAAACUCUGUUAUUAGGGAAGAACAAAUGUGUAAGUAACUAUGCACGUCUUGACGGUACCUAAUCAGAAAGCCACGGCUAACUACGUG